CUAAGGUAGCGAAAUUCCUUGUCGGGUAAGUUCCGACCUGCACGAAUGGCGUAACGACUUGGGCGCUGUCUCAACGAGGGAUCCGGUGAAACUGUAGUCUCGGUGAAGAUGCCGAGUACCCGUGGUUGGACGGAAAGACCCCGUGAACCUUUACUACAGCUAGAUGUUGGAGUCUGGGGCGUGUUGUCCAGGAUAGGUGGGAGGCUGUGAAGCGGCGGCGCCAGCCGUCGUGGAGCCACCCUUGGGAUACCACCCUUCGCGUUCUGGGCUUCUAACCCGAUGCCGUGAUCCGGGUCGGGAACAGCAUCUGGUGGGUAGUUUGACUGGGGCGGUCGCCUCCCAAAAUGUAACGGAGGCGUGCAAAGGUUCCCUCAGCACGGUUGGAAAUCGUGCGUAGAGUGCAAAGGCAAAAGGGAGCUUGACUGCAAGACUGACAAGUCGAGCAGGUGCGAAAGCAGGUCUUAGUGAUCCGACGGUAGAGAGUGGAAUUGCCGUCGCUCAACGGAUAAAAGGUACUCCGGGGAUAACAGGCUUAUCCUUCCCAAGAGUCCACAUCGACGGAAGGGUUUGGCACCUCGAUGUCGGCUCGGCGCAUCCUGGGGCCGGAGUAGGUCCCAAGGGUUGGGCUGUUCGCCCAUUAAAGCGUUACGCGAGCUGGGUUCAGAACGUCGUGAGACAGUUCGGUCCCUAUCCACCAUGGGCGCUGGAAGCUUGAGAGGAGUCGUCCUCAGUACGAGAGGACCGGGACGAACAGACCUCUGGUGUAUCAGUCGUCGUGCCAACGGCGCUGCUGAUUAGCCACGUCUGGAUGGGAUAACCGCUGAAAGCAUCUAAGCGGGAAGCCCACCUCGAGAUGAGGCUUCCCAUCCCCUAGAGGGAGUAAGGGCCGUGGGAGACCACCACGUCGAUAGGCGGGAUGUGUAAGCGCAGCAAUGCGUUCAGCAGACCCGUACUAAUUGCCCGAGGUCUUGAUUU
rnacentral:rRNA from 1 species